AUUGAACGCUGGCGGCAUGCCUUACACAUGCAAGUCGAACGGCAGCACGGGAGCAAUCCUGGUGGCGAGUGGCGAACGGGUGAGUAAAGUAUCGGAACGUGCCCAGUCGUGGGGGAUAACGUAGCGAAAGUUACGCUAAUACCGCAUACGAUCUAUGGAUGAAAGCGGGGGAUCGCAAGACCUCGCGCGAUUGGAGAGGCCGAUAUCAGAUUAGGUAGCUGGUAGGGUAAAGGCUCACCAAGCCGACGAUCUGUAGCUGGUCUGAGAGGACGACCAGCCACACUGGGACUGAGACACGGCCCAGACUCCUACGGGAGGCAGCAGUGGGGAAUUUUGGACAAUGGGCGAAAGCCUGAUCCAGCCAUGCCGCGUGCAGGAUGAAGGCCUUCGGGUUGUAAACUGCUUUUGUACGGAACGAAAAGGUUUGGCCUAAUAAGCUGAGCUCAUGACGGUACCGUAAGAAUAAGCACCGGCUAACUACGUGCCAGCCGCCGCAGUAA
rnacentral:rRNA from 1 species